rnacentral:rRNA from 1 species
CGCUGGCGGCGUGCCUAAUACAUGCAAGUCGAACGGUCUUUCUAUGGAAGCUUGCCUCCACCGAGAAGAUAGUGGCGAACGGGUGAGUAACACGUGGGGUAACCUGCCCAUAAGAGGGGGGAUAACAUCCGGAAACGGGUGCUAAUACCGCAUAGUUUUCUUGAUCGCAUGAUCGGGAAAGGAAAGACGGCCUUUGUGCUGUCGCUUAUGGAUGGACCCGCGGCGUAUUAGUUAGUUGGUGAGGUAACGGCUCACCAAGACGAUGAUACGUAGCCGACCUGAGAGGGUGAUCGGCCACAUUGGGACUGAGACACGGCCCAAACUCCUACGGGAGGCAGCAGUAGGGAAUCUUCCGCAAUGGACGAAAGUCUGACGGAGCAACGCCGCGUGAGUGAAAGAAGGUUUUCGGAUCGUAAAACUCUGUUGUCAGAGAAGAACAAGUUGGAGAGUAACUGCUCCAGCCUUGACGGUAUCUGACCAGAAAGCCACGGCUAACUACGUGCCAGCCGCGGC